rnacentral:rRNA from 1 species
UACGUAGGGGGCAAGCGUUGUCCGGAAUUAUUGGGCGUAAAGAGCGUGUAGGCGGCCAGAUAAGUCCGCUGUGAAAUCUCGAGGCUCAACUUCGAGCUGUCGGUGGAAACUAUCUGGCUAGAGUCCGGAAGAGGAGAAUGGAAUUUCUGGUGUAGCGGUGAAAUGCGCAGAUAUCAGGAAGAACACCCGUGGCGAAGGCGGUUCUCUGGGACGGUACUGACGCUGAGACGCGAAAGCGUGGGGAGCGAACAGG